AAUAUGAGCAAAAUUUUUGCUUUGUUUUUUGUGCUUAAAAAUGCAUACUUGUACCCUCAAAACUAAAAUUAAGUUUUAUUCCCAACUGAUCGAGUCAGGUCUUGAAUUUUUUUUUAAUUGUAAAAAAAGGCUCUUAAACUUGUUAGUCGCUAUUACAUUUGAUUCGGAACUACCAGUUAGAUGUUGUCUUACUUGAUUCAAGCUACUUGAAGGUGCACUAAUCACUGAGCAUUGUUGGAAGGCACA
rnacentral:misc_RNA from 1 species